UGGGAGCUUGUGCUGAGUUCUGUGCUCUCACUUCCGGUUUGGGGCUUCACUCUGCCUCUAGUUCUCUCCCUGCCUGUGCUGAUCUUCUCCCAAGCCCCCGCAGAACAAACCUUUUCUGGCAAGAUUCCAGAUAAUCUUUGGCUGAAGCUGCACCAUAUCAAUAUUAUAUCAAUUGAUCAUCACAACAACCCUGGAAGUUCCAGGUUGGAUCAGGUGGACCCCAGUGCCCUUUAUAAUCCUGAGAUUCUAUAAAUCUAUGAAAGUACAUAUGAAAUUGAGGACUACAUUUACAAUAACCAUUCCAACAUACAUAAGAUGAGCAAAUGGCCUAGGAGGUCUCUCCCUUUGGGAAUCUGGAGGCACAGAGAAUGAGGUCUAUAGUGUAAAUUUUCUGUUUGAAAUGUAAAUACCAUUUCCUUGGUCUUUUGAACAAACUGCUGAUUCACUCUUCACAACUUUUUCCACUAGUUCAGUCAGACCCUGAACGUUUUUUUUUUUUCCUUUAUAAAGAGAGGGGUGAAUUCCAGAAGGACUCUGAUUCAGGAAGAAAAAUGAUGAAAGAAGACACUGGCUUGUGUGCAGGGCUUCCCCCAGGGAAGCAGUAAAAAUGGUUCACUGAAUAGAGAAGCUAAGAGAGAUCAAGGCUUGGGGCCAUUUGAAUUCCCUCUGCUUUUGGAUACUUUUUUAGACUUCUUAGAAUUUAGUAACUUCCCCCCCCACUUUCCUUUAUUAUUUUAAGUCCAUGCCUCUUUCAUUGUAGCUACACUCAAUAAAUCUAUGUGGAGAAUGGAAGGAAGUAUUGAGUAUUCAUUUUAGAUAUUUCCAGAGAGCCGAGUGGAGGGAAAAAAAAAAAAAA